UACGUAGGGUCCAAGCGUUAUCCGGAAUCACUGGGCGUAAAGCGUGCGUAGGUGGCGUGUUAAGUGUGAUGUUAAAUCGUGGGGCUCAACCCUGUCGGUGCAUCACAUACUGGCAUGCUAGAGGACAGCAGAGGCAAGUGGAAUUGGUAGUGUAGCAGUGAAAUGCGUAGAUAUUACCAGGAACACCAAUGGCGAAGGCAGCUUGCUGGGCUACUCCUGACACUGAGGUACGAAAGCGUGGGGAGCGAACAGG
rnacentral:rRNA from 1 species